UUUUUUGUAUCUGAGCAGGAUGAAUGUAUUUACAUAUAUGUAUGUAUAUGCGUUUCAAUCUACGUAGAAAUUGUUUAAGGCUUGUUGUUAUACGUUUGUUGUUGUUUCAGCCGAAGAUCCACAAUUCAAGUACAUUUAUAGUUACCAAUUGUAAGCGAACUUUUCUUACACUUUAUUUCUUUAAUAUUUUUAAUUGAUGUUUAUAUUUUUGACUUUGAAUUCUUCGUUACUCUCCAUUUGUUUUUACUCAUUAAUGUUAUUAUGUAAGUAUAUAUUGAGUUCCCCUCUUGAUCGCAUUGUUGUUUAUCAUUGUAGUGAAUUUGAUGAUAUGUUCCUUAUGUAUAUAUAUAUGUAUAUCCAUUUAUAUGUAUGUUACUAAUUAUGAUAAUUUCAUAUCUGUGUUCGGCUAGUAACGCCAAUCAUUUGGUCACCGCUGUACGAGUCGACUCUCCCUUUGUCGUCCUAUGUUCACAUUCAACGCUUUUCUAAGACGGUAGUUUCGCCUCCAGAUCUCACCUCUUCUACUACUGCGGCAACCGUAGCUUAAAAUGUAGUAAAUUUUUAUGUUUUCGAAUACUUUUUGUAUAAUGGACGACAUAAAAUCUAGCAGUUACUGGAGUCCAAAGUUCUUCAACUGAUAUGCAAUAUUGAUUUUUAAUUGUAAUAUGUUUUUAUUAUUUUUUUUUUUUGUAGUUCUCACGAAUAUGGAUGUGGUAUUCUGUACUGAGGUAGGUUUAUAUAGGCGAUAAAGUGGUGUAACGCUCUAACUAUGCAAAUAAAGUUAUCAGUUCGGUUAUACUUGUAUCUGUGUGAGUAUAGGCACAAACUAGUUUUUUAUUUGUAAAUUCUGAAUUGUACUGUACAAAUUAAAUUAUAGUGUGCUGUCAAUAGUAUUUUUGAUGCCGAAUUUUGUCAAAAAAAAUUAGUGCUAAAUUUAAUUAUUAACAUAUCAUAUUAUAGUGCCUUAGAUAUCAUAGUUUUUAGCAAUACUCGUGAUUUAAAGCAUUAUUAAAAUUACCACAUAGGAAAUCGGUUUUGGCAGUCUGUAAAUUGGGUCAACAGCCAAACAAAUGACACACAGUUAUGAUGUAUAAACCGUACCGAAAACCAAUGGAAAGGGUUCAGCGGAUUACAGCGCUUUGCAAAAUGGGAACACUAAGAACCAUCCCAACAGCGGCUCUUGAACUUAUACUAAGAAUGGCUAGCGUAAGGGCAUGGCACCUGCACGCAGCACUUUAAAAAUAUUUACGGAUGGCUCGAAAAUGGUGUAUGGAGUAGGUGCGGGGAUAUACUGGCCUGAGUUAGCCUUUAAGGCAGCCUUUCAAACUACUAUACUGCAAUAUAUUUGUAGCGGAGGUGUUUGCAAUUGGGAAAGCCGCCGAGCUAUCCUUAAACCCAUCAACAGGAUACUCUAAAGUCAACAUAUACGUAGGUAGUCAGGCGGCAAUCAAGGCAAUAUCCUUCUUCUGCAUAUACGCCAAAAGUGUUUUGCGUGGCAGGGCAGCAGUGGAGGAUGUCGCGGCUGGAAUUUAGUAUAGCAUCCCACGAUUUCGCGGAUAAAAUGUGUAUGGUUGGAUAGAGGAGAUCCUCCGCAGGAUACUUAGAGUUUUCGAGAUAUUCACGUUUAAAGUUUAAAAAUUGUCUAAUUUUAACACGUAAUUUCUCGCUAUAUAGUUAAUUUUUUUUUUAUAUUUUGCAAUUAUUAUACACUUACACUUCACUACUUUCUUUCUAUAUAUUUAUUUUAAAUUAAUUAUUUAGAAAUUUGCUUUAAAUAAGCAUUUUAAUUUUUAUUCAAUUUUAUCAAUUGAUACAAUAACAAAAGGGUUGCAUGCUGACGAAAAAGAAGCAUAGCCAUAUCUAAAAAAAUACAAAUGAAUCAUAAUAUAUAAAAAGGAGGGAUUUUACCCCAAAUUAUAUCUCGGGGUGUCCUAAGUCCCAUUCGCGUAGUAUUACUUUCUGCAUUGCUUGAAAAAAAUAACCCUGGUCGAGCCAUCACCGGGAAUUAUCAAAGAGAUGGAAAUCAUAACUUUUUUCGUGUAGAAGUGUCAAAAGCAAAGCACCAGAGAAGCAAUGGAUCAUCUCUUGUGUGCUUGUCCUGCAUUAUCAAAGCAACGGCUUCAGCAUUUUGGGGUUUCACAAUACAUUAAUCUGGGAUAGAUUUCGUUAGUGAAACUCAUAACCUUUUGAAAUUCGCGUCAAGCACAGACAACCUAAAGGAUGAUUACUCCUAAUUAACAAUGUGACGGCACUCCACGGGACAGGGGCUAAAAAUUAACGAAACCGGAUGUGAAUAUUACAAUAAGUAUACAUACAUAUAUGGAGGAUACAUUGGAUGGGACAGACUCCUUACAGACCAUUGUCUCUAUAUUGGCACUGGUUUUGUUUUUAUGGGUUAGAUGUAAGUAAUUGGUGUAAAUUGAGAUGACUCACACUUUACGCGGAUCGGCUUUGAGGACACAAUCCCAUAAGAACAAUAAAUCCAGUAGAAAUAGUGCCUUCGGCGAUUGGCGGCUAUAUAAGGUGGGUCUCGAAAUAUAAAGGGCUGCAAUAAAGAAGUCCAAGAGGGCUUUAAGAAGAAUAUUUUGCGUAUCUGCCAUCAUCAGGAAUUAAGAGCAUUCACGUUUUGCACUCUACGUUCGAAGUAUCCCUUAGAGAGCUUCAGAAGGACUGUACAAAUUUCUGCACAAACACAAUUUCGCAAGGGUAUUGAAAUUUUUCGAACCCUUCAAUUCAGUGAACCUAACCUCUCAGCUAUACCGAACAAACGUUUGCCCAAUGUUGAUAUUCCGUGCACAGAAGUGGUUUCACCAUCAACACAACCCUGGAGAAAGCGAUGUUGGUUCGAUGUCUUCUAGUAGGGAUUUGAAAUUGUCCAUGGCAAAAUCUUUUAACAAGUCCAACGCUACUAGGAUUAAUUAUGUAAAUGUUUAUGAGCCAUUUUGAUUUUUCGCUAGACUCAAAUGGUAAGACCUCAAGUGUCGUCAUUACGGGAGAAAUGUGAGUUAUCGAACUAAGACUGUAGGUUGGCGAGUUUGCCACAGCCAAAUUACCAAGUUACACAGCGAAAGCUGCACGUCGAAUAGCUCCAAUCACACCAGGCAGAUAAAGAUUUCGCAACUCGAUAGAUAUCCACCACACGUCAACUUCUUGAAAUGACCCAAGAAAAACAGAUCGACACGCACGGUCUUCUUGUCGAUUUGAAAGCUGCAUUCGAGGCUAUGUAAAAUGACGAUCAGCGUUACUACUAGCUCCGUCAGAAUAUGAUCUCUCCGAGCCGUUCGAUACCAAACGAGGUUUCAGACAAAGAUCGAGCGAUUUCUUUAAAGGACCGCAAUGGCACUUUUUGGGAGUACGAUGUGGCAAAGAUGGAUUACAUAAGGUUUAUGGAAAAUUUUCGCCUUCCUCUAUCGAGCGAUUUCUUUAACCUAAUGCUUGAGAAGAUAAUUCGCGCUGCAGAUCUUCAAAUACCAAAUAUAACAUCAACCACGAAAUCAAUAGGAGGAUCACUGUUGCCAACAGGCUUGCUAUCACGCACUCAAAAGGUGACAUAUGGUCAUAAUAAUAAUAUUUUCAGUGUUAUACAGUGAUACAAUAAAAAUGGAAAGACGGCGAAUAUUAAGGUUGUUAGCAGUCCAAUUUGUUCAAAACCACUUUUUAAUACAAAACAAUUAAAUACACUACUUCUAAAACUCCAUCGGAAUAUGAGAUUCAUUAAUGAAAUGCAACAAACGAUAGUACAAACUAGUACCGCAGUGGCGUCUUUCCAGACACUCCAAAGAAGGGCCUGGAAAUUUGACCGCAAUGGCACUUUUUGGGAGUACGAUGUGGCAAAGAUGGAUUACAUCAGGUUUAUGGAAACUUUUCGCCUAAACAAAGAAGCUUUUAAAAAAGUAUACCAAAAAGUUCAGGAAAUCAUGUUCAAAAAAGAGUGGCCUUGUAUGCAUUAGGUUGGUCGGCAGAAUAUCGAAAUUGUACUGGACGUUUGCAACGCUAUUUUCAAAAAUUUAGCGGAUUACAUCAAUAGCUAUCCCCCAAGCCAAGAAGAAAUAAAUAAAAAUGUCCAAGGCUUUAAGCAACUUGGUUUCCAUCAGUGUUUCGGAACAACAGCUGGCUACCACAUUGAGGUUCAGCCGAAAAAAGAAGACGCUGUCAAUUUCUAUAACUAUAAAGAGUGGUAUUCCAUUGUUCUGUUAGCAAGUUGCGACUAUAGGUCUAAAUUUAAUACUGGAGUACUGAAUCAACUGGAAGAAAUAAUGAUUCAUACAUUUUUGAAAAUAGCUCUUUGAAGAAUUGUCAUGAAAGCUCCGAAAUUGUUUCUGAGAACAGCAGAAUAAUUGGAGUUAAUGUUCCUGUGCUACUUAUUGGUGAUACAGCUUUUCGAAUGUCGCGUUAUGUGAUGAAGCCUUUUCCAUAUUCACCAAAUCAAACACUUCUAGAAAAAAACAUUUAAUUACCGUUUGUUCAAAUGUCGCAGAGUUAUAGAAAAUGCUUUCGGCCAACUAAAAGAUCGAUUUCGAAAAGUUGGCAGAGGCCUGCAAGUAGCUCCAAAAAACGUCAACGUUAUUGUAUAUGCAUGUUGUAUUUUACACAAUUUUUUAAAAAUUGAAAAUGAGCUGAGAUGAGAUUCCUUCUUCGUGGAUCCAAGAUGUAGCAGAAAUAACAAGAGAAAAUAAACCACAACAUACUACAAGAGCUGGGGAAAAUGAUGUAACAGCAUCUGCUAUUAGAAAUGCAAUAUCUUUGAGUUUUGUUGACGACGGCAUUGGUGCAGAUGAUGGUGAUGGCGAUGACAACGAAGGUGGUGGCGACAGUAGCGAAGGUGAUGGAGACGGCAACAUAAACGAUGGUGACUGGCGACACCACACAUGACGGAGAUGGCGGUGCACAUGUUGCGGAUGGUUGCUGAGGCGGUUGAAUCGAUAUUGAAUUCUAAAAAAUUAAAUGAAAAUACACAUGGAAUAAAUGAUUUGUUUACCAUAGGAUAGGAUGACAUGCACGUCGUAGAAUUGACGGCUGUGGACCCUAUAAUUCGAUGCACUGCCUGGUAGUGUUUCCAUCCAGAAGGGCUACCGCCAGAUGGGCCCAUUUUAGUUUUUUCUUCUCUGUUGUAUUUCAAUAUACAUAUAUAAUGAAAUGUAAUUAAUUUUUUUUAGUUAAA